CGAGCCAGGGCUUCUGCGGACCUCGUGACCUGUAGCUAAAUGGCAGGUACACCUGCCAUCGGCAACAGGCCACGGCGCGCCGGGUGCCGCGGCCGCCGGCGUCGCGGGACGUCGCCCGGCCGCACGACUGGCCCGCGCCGCUGCCGGACCUCCACUGGAGAUCCAAGCACGUAACGCGCCUUUUUUUUUUCUCUAUAUUUAGUUUUACGGGAUUAUGACAAAUUUGUAGCGGCAUUCGGAAAUCAAUGUCGAGACGAAACGUUACUUAAUUAUUAUUAUUAUUACUUCAAUAAUGUUAUUCGUUCACCAUUUAUGCAAGACAAUUCCUAUACUUUCCCGUUGAGAGUUUGGGAUAUAUCCGAUGCUUUUCCAUAUAACGAGAGUGUGGGAGAACAUUUUCUAUGCUUGUCCUAGCGAUUUUAAGUUAAGUUUCAAAUAAGUUUUUGUUUUUGUUACAAGUCAGCAACUCCAUUUUGGUUAAGAGUGUUAAGUUUUUCAUUAAGUCAUUUAAGGUUUUUUACUCAGUAUUAGAUUUAGUUGCUUUUCAUUUAUUUUUUUUCAUUAAACAUGUUCUUUUCGCC